ensembl:misc_RNA Metazoa_SRP Metazoan signal recognition particle RNA
GCUGGGCGUGGUGGCACGUGCCUGUAGUCCCAACUUCUCGGGAGGCUGAGGUGGGAGGAUCGCUUGAGCCCAGGAGUUCUGGGCUGUAGUGCGCUAUGUCAAUUGGGCGUCCGCACUAAGUUCGGCAUCAAUAUGGUGAUCUCCCGGGAGUGGGGGACCACCAGGUUGCCUAAGGAGGGGUGAACUGGCCCAGGUCAGAAAUGGAGCAGGUCAAAACUCCCGUGCUGAUCAGUAGUGGAAUCGCGGCUGUGAACAGCCACUGCACUCCAGCCUGGGCAACAUAGCGAGACCCCAUCUCUA